GCUUGUGGAAGUGGACGUGUUUUGUGAGCCGUGUGUUGUGUUGCUGCGUGGGAAUGGUUCAUGUGUUUGUAUGUGAGUGGGUUAUUGUGCAUCGAGACAUACUUUGUGGAUUAUACUUCGCAAGCUUUGGGCGUCAUCAACACCGUGUCAUAGAGUGGAUCCCGCCGUUGCCUGAUGGAUCAAAGGUGCGCACCCGUAAGAUCUGCAGUGCACUAGAAGGUGACCUGAUGGUAUAUCGCACUUCAGGGCAGAUAGUUUGUCUUUCGCCAAAUUUCUACUGAUUUCGAGGACAGAUGUACGACACAGUGUCCAUGCCAAAAUCAUGCACCCACGUCGUUCUACGGGACGUGUGCUUCUGGUCGUCCACUAUUGACGGAAUGGCUGGAUGUUCAUGACGUAAGCCCACUAAAAAGGGAUGUAUCCGGCGGUCGUGCCCUACUAUUUUUGAGUGGUAAUUGAGCCCCCGGUAUAGUGAAUGUGGUUAAAAGUCAAUCCGUUUGUGAUCGUGAUGGAUCGUAAGAACUGUUUGGCAUUUCGCGCGAGAAUUAUUUCAUAGGCCCUUUAACUCGGAACUUCUUUAAACAUAAGGUAAUCUGUGAUCAUUCUUAACGAAGUGUACGGGAUAUUUUUUUUAUGUUUUUGCUAUCGUUGUUGUUUAUAAGACAUGCUACGCAAGACGUUUUUUUAUCAUUUAGAGAUUUUUUAUAAAAAGCUACGAGAGGAGCAUAGAUUUCGUUUUUGCAGUCGAGUAAUAGUGACAAGGGGACAUGCUCUCGUAUGGAGUAUCUAACUACAAGACGUCUAAUUACCUAAAUUUUUCACUAACUUUUUAAUGACAAAAUUAUCAGAAACAGAGAGAUAGCAAAAUGGGGACAAUCCUCGUUGAAAGCCAUUCCAUUUGUUGAAAUCCUGGAAAGCGCAGGUCUGUUGAAAUAUCCGUCUCCGAAUUUUGUGCAGCUAACCCGAAAUCAAAACAACGUUAUAUGUAAAUUCGUUAACUACUUGGUCACUUAAUGGUUACUUGGAUAAUUUAGCAACUUCUAGUGGCAUACAUUCUUCGAGAAGAUGUCCGCCUGGCCGUAUUACUGAACUGCAGAUACGGAAUCUAUGCUGCUCUCCUAGGUUUUUGUAAAAAAAUCUAUAAGGGAUAACAAAAAUAACGCCUUGAAUGCACAACUGCACAACACAACAACUGCACAACAACUGCAUUUCUGCAUAUAGGGGACUAGUGUGUUGACUACCGACACCAACAACCCGUACCGACUAGAGUCACUAAAUAAGCUUCGCCUCAGAAUAUUGACACUGAGGUCCAAGGGAGAGCAGGAGCGCCAUCUUGUUUCUGCACCACACCGGUACCAUACCCACUUGAGGAUCAAAGACGGCUAUCAUAACGCUCGCUGUGGCAUAGAGAAGCGUGUACGCUUGCGUUGUGCAAUAAUCCAUGUAUUGUCCACCAGAGCGUCCCGAAGUUGUCAGGGUGAGAUCCGUCAACUGCUGCUUGUAAACGAAAGGAACAUUUCUCCCGCGCACGAUAGAUGGCAUCGUGCGCUAACGUGCACAGUGCGCGUGGGGAGCGUGGCGCGCAAACGAGAUGGCGCAUGCUCGCUCUUGGAACUCAGUGUCGAUACUCUGAAGCGUAGCUUAUUUAGUGA